rnacentral:rRNA from 1 species
GAAAUAGCUGGUUCUCCGCGAAAACUAUUUAGGUAGUGCGGCAAGCGGACACGUUGAGGGGUAGAGCACUGAAAGAGCUAAGGGGGAGCGAUCCUUACUAAACUUUAUCAAACUCCGAAUACUCAACAGUGAUACUUGCCAGACAGACUGUAGGUGCUAAGGUCUACGGUCGAGAGGGAAAGAGCCCAGACCGCCAAUUAAGGUCCCAAAAUUAUGGCUAAGUGGUAAAGGAAGUGAAUUGUCCAAAACAGUCAGGAGGUUGGCUUAGAAGCAGCCAUCCUUUAAAGAAAGCGUAAUAGCUCACUGAUCUAAACAAGACGAUUUGCGCCGAAGAUGUAACGGGGCUAAAGCCAUAUACCGAAAUUGCGGAUUUGCACGUUUGUGCAAGUGGUAGCGGAGCGUUCUGUAAGCCUGCGAAGGUGUUCCGUAAGGAAUGCUGGAGGUAUCAGAAGUGAGAAUGCUGACAUGAGUAGCGAAAAGAAGUGUGAGAGACACUUCCGCUGAAAGUCCAAGGUUUCCUGCGUAAAGCUAAUCUGCGCAGGGUUAGUCGGCCCCUAAGGCGAGGCAGAGAUGCGUAGUCGAUGGGAAUCAGGUUAAUAUUCCUGAACCAACUAGGAAGUGACGGAUUCAGUAAAUUGUAUGUCCUUAUUGGAUUGGAUGUGCAGUGAAUGAGUCCCGGGAAAUAGCCCUAGUAUAGACCGUACCCGAAACCGACACAGGUGGACAGGUAGAGAAUACCAAAGCGCUUGAGAGAACUAUGUUGAAGGAACUAGGCAAAAUACUUGCGUAACUUCGGGAUAAGCAAGCCCCAUUUCUGGGCAACCAGAGGUGGGGGGCACAUACUAGGGGGUAGCGACUGUUUACUAAAAACACAGGGCUCUGCUAAAUUGAAAGAUGAAGUAUAGGGUCUGACGCCUGCCCGGUGCUGGAAGGUUAAGGAGAGAUGUGCAAGCAUUGAACUGAAGCCCCAGUAAACGGCGGCCGUAACUAUAACGGUCCUAAGGUAGCGAAAUUCCUUGUCGGGUAAGUUCCGACCUGCACGAAUGGCGUAACGACUUCCCCGCUGUCUCCAACAUAGACUCAGCGAAAUUGAAUUCUGAGUUAAGAUGCUCAGUACCCGCGGUUAGACGGAAAGACCCCGUGAACCUUUACUAUAGCUUUGCAGUGGUAUUAGGUGACAAAUGUGUAGGAUAGGUGGGAUGCUAUGAAGUUAUGACGCUAGUUGUAAUGGAGCAGACGUUGAAAUACCACCCUUUUGUUAUUUGAUAUCUAACCUGCUUCCGUUAUCCGGAAGAGGGACCCUGCAUGGUGGGUAGUUUGACUGGGGCGGUCGCCUCCCAAAGAGUAACGGAGGCGCGCAAAGGUUGGCUCAGAUUGGUCGGAAAUCAAUCGUUGAGUGCAAUGGCAUAAGCCAGCCUGACUGCGAGAGCGACAGUUCGAGCAGAGACGAAAGUCGGUCAUAGUGAUCCGGUGGUCCCGAGUGGAAGGGCCAUCGCUCAACGGAUAAAAGGUACUCCGGGGAUAACAGGCUGA